GCUCAGUAACACGUGGCUAACUUACCCUUAGGACGGGUACAACCUCGGGAAACUGAGGCUAAUAUCCGAUAGGUGGGGAGGCCUGGAAUGGUCCUUCACCGAAAAGGAACUAGUGGCAUGCUUGCUAAUUUCGCCUGAGGAUAGGGCCGCGCCCGAUCAGGUCGCUGGUGAGGUAACGGCUCACCAGGCCUAUAACCGGUACGGGCCGUGAGAGCGGGAGCCCGGAGAUGGGCACUGAGAUAAGGGCCCAGGCCCUACGGGGCGCAGCAGGCGCGAAAACUCCGCAAUGCGCGAAAGCGUGACGGGGUCACCCCGAGUGCCGUCCGCUGAGGAUGGCUUUUGCCCGGUAUAACUAGCCAGGUGAAUAAGGGGAGGGCAAGUCUGGUGUCAGCCGCCGCGGUAAUACCAGCUCCCCGAGUGGUUGGGACGAUUAUUGGGUCUGAAGCGUCCGUAGCCGGCCGGAAAAGUNCCCCGUUAAAUCUGGCGAUCCAAUCGUUAGGCUGCGGGGAAUACUCUUCGGCUUGGGGGCGAGGGAGGUCGGCGGUAGUNCGGGGUAGGGGCGAAAUNCUAUAAUCCCGGGAGGACCACCAGUGGCGANNGCGGNCGACUAAANCGCGCCCGACGGUGAGGGACGAAAGCUGGGGGAGCGAACCGAUUAGAUANCNNGGUAGUCUC
rnacentral:rRNA from 1 species